AGUUCUGCCCCUCAGAUGUUGGAGACCUUGUGGCCUGAAGAUGCAGGGAUUGGGCCCUUCCUGAAGUCGGAGAGAUUGGAAGUGUGAGAGGACCUAUAAAGGGACCAUGUAGCUAAGACCUGAGGCCGGUCUGAAAGCAUUCACCAGCUAAUAACAAGCAUGAAAAUGGGAACAUCAGUCCUACAACCUCAAGGAACUGAAUUCUGCUGAUAACAUGAGCAAGCUCGGAAGAGGUACCAGUGAAAAUCCAGUUCUCCCUGAUCUUUACUUUCAGUCUGGCAAGAUCUUGAAAAGAGAACCCCACACACCAUGCCUGUACUUCUGGCCAAUAGAAACUGAGAUAAUAAAUGUGCCUUGUUUAAAACUGCUAA